rnacentral:rRNA from 1 species
AUGUUUGAGCUGAAGCUCUGCGGUUCAGAUGUAACAUACCUGAAUAUGAUUGCAGUGAUGGAAACCCAAGGAUUUAGUGAAUAUGAUCUGCUGUUUCACAUUGAGAAUUCAGAUUUAGGGGAGAAAGGAUUGGAGAUGGUAGAGAGUAAUGUUGAGUUGCAACUAGUAAAGAGGCAGGUUGAGGAGUGUAAGGUUCUAAAUUUGCUAGCGAGGGCAUGUCCACCUCCUUGCAACCAGUUUGAGAGGCAAGAAUUAUCCACUGUUGUGUAUGAAGGGCAUGUGUUAUAUGAUCUCAGUGAGCCACCCAUCUAUGUUGUUGAUGAAGAAGGAGUUGCCUUUGAAAGUCAGAGUAGCAGCUGCAGUGUAGCUCAUGGUACUGGUGUUUGCACACAAGAGAGCAAGAAUGUAAGAGGAAAACUGAAAGUUGUUUUGGAAAUAGAAGAAGAAGAGGGAUAUGAUGGCAGUGGUGGUUCUGAUUGUGAAGGUGAAGAUGACAGUGAUGUAAACCCUUUUUAUAUGGGUGAUGCUGAUGACAUAGAGAUGGAUGAGGGAAAGAAAUAG